AAAAAGCAAAAGCAGUGGAGCAAAACGAAGAGCCAAUAAGAAAAUAAGCUUUACGAUUUUCCUUACCCUCUUUCGAUUAUAUAAGGCGAUGUAAUAAAUUAUUGAAAGCAUCAGAAAAUUCACGAACAUAAAUUUUUCUUGAAUCCUCUAUCUAUUUCUCUUGCUGUAAAAUGUUUGAAGAUCAACAAAGAAGUUUUCCUAUUUUGUUAAGGAUGCCAAAAUGAUGUUCUCUUUAAAUGAGCUUAAUAUGUGAUCCACAAGCUCAAGGAAAGGAAUCCUUAAGACCAAGGAUGUCCUAACGUCUAGUUUACUAUAGAGUUAUGAAUAAGUCUACUUAUGUAUUAUGUUGUACGAGUCGUGUCCCUAAAGUACUCUUAUGAUAUUGAGUCUAGGAUGGCAAAAAGAGACUACAAUCUUUAACUAAGUAUGAUGAUAUUCUGUAAAUAUGAUGUAAUAUUUCUCGCAUAUGAUGCGCUGAGAAGUUUUAUAUUUUCCUCUAAA